UGGAAGGGUGAUGCCAAUAUGCUGGGAGCA
rnacentral:piRNA from 1 species